rnacentral:rRNA from 1 species
CUACGGGCGGCUGCAGUAGGGAAUUUUCGGCAAUGGGCGCAAGCCUGACCGAGCAACGCCGCGUGAGUGAUUAAGGCCUUCGGGUUGUAAAGCUCUGUUGUAAAGGAAGAACGAUUAGGAUAGGAAAUGAUCCUAAUGUGACGGUACUUUACCAGAAAGCCACGGCUAACUACGUGCCAGCAGCCGCGGUAAUACGUAGGGUGGCAAGCGUUAUCCGGAAUUAUUGGGCGUAAAGGGUGCGUAGGCGGUUUAUUAAGUCUGUGUUGAAAGUUCGGGGCUCAACCCCGUAUGGGCACAGAAACUGAUAGACUCGAGUGCAGGAGAGGGCAGUGGAAUUCCAUGUGUAGCGGUAAAAUGCGUAGAUAUAUGGAGGAACACCGGUGGCGAAGGCGGCUGCCUGGCCUGUUACUGACGCUGAGGCACGAAAGCGUGGGGAGCAAAUAGGAUUAGAUACCCCUGUAGUC